rnacentral:rRNA from 1 species
CAGCAGCCACGGGAAUACGUAGGUGGCAAGCGUUGUCCGGAAUUAUUGGGCGUAAAGGGCUCGCAGGCGGUUUCUUAAGUCUGAUGUGAAAGCCCCCGGCUCAACCGGGGAGGGUCAUUGGAAACUGGGAAACUUGAGUGCAGAAGAGGAGAGUGGAAUUCCACGUGUAGCGGUGAAAUGCGUAGAGAUGUGGAGGAACACCAGUGGCGAAGGCGACUCUCUGGUCUGUAACCGACGCUGAAGAGCGAAAGCGUGGGGAGCGAACAGGAUUAGAUACCCCGGUAGUCCCUGUCUCUUAUAC